CACGUAGGGCGCAAGCGUUGUCCGGAAUUAUUGGGCGUAAAGGGCUCGUAGGCGGCCAACUAAGUCAGACGUGAAAUCCCUCGGCUUAACCGGGGAACUGCGUCUGAUACUGGAUGGCUUGAGUUUGGGGAGAGGGAUGCGGAAUUCCAGGUGUAGCGGUGAAAUGCGUAGAUAUCUGGAGGAACACCGGUGGCGAAGGCGGCAUCCUGGACCAACACUGACGCUGAGGAGCGAAAGCCAGGGGAGCAAACAGG
rnacentral:rRNA from 1 species